rnacentral:rRNA from 1 species
UACGUAGGGUGCAAGCGUUAAUCGGAAUUACUGGGCGUAAAGCGUGCGCAGGCGGUUAUGUAAGACAGAUGUGAAAUGCCCGGGCUUAACCUGGGAACUGCAUUUGUGACUGCAUGGCUAGAGUUUGGCAGAGGGGGGUAGAAUUCCACGUGUAGCAGUGAAAUGCGUAGAUAUGUGGAGGAACACCGAUGGCGAAGGCAGCCCCCCUGGGUC